GCAUUGGUGGUUCUGUGGUAGAAUUCUCGCCUCGCAUGCUGGAGACCUGGGUCCGAUUCCCGGCCAAUGCA
rfam:Danio rerio chromosome 4, GRCz11 reference primary assembly.